rnacentral:lncRNA from 1 species
GCGGCUCUGGUUGCAGUAGCACCCUCGACUGAUCCUCCCUACCUUCAGGUCGGUGUCGGAUGAAUCUGUCGAGCCAACCUCGUCUGAUGAGCUCCUCGAUCUGCCAGUUCAUUUCUUGGAAUCUUUAUCCCAGGAGGUCCUCUCGACUGUGAGUCUCGAGGGUCUUCUGGUAGAACGAAGGUAGAAACCCCUCGGGGGUGGAAUCAUGAUCGGACGGAGGGCUCUCUGCCAUCUAC